rnacentral:ncRNA from 2 species
CUUAUACAGAGUGGUUGAGGGACGGGCCCGAUGAAACCCGGCAACCGGUCGCGUGGCGACAGUGGUGCCAAUUCCCGCAGCGCAGCCCUGCGCUGAAAUAUGAGG